AGUGGGGCAGAGAUUGAUUGAUGAGAGAGCUUUGUGCUUGCUUUUUUUUGGAUUACAAAAAAGACCAGAAAGUGGGACUGAAUGAAAUUCACAUUACAUAUUCAUAUUGCAUAAAGUACAAAGGCCGAGUCCACUGGAGCUCCAGACCCAGGAAGGGGGGAGAAUACAAAGAACGAGAGAGAGAGUGGAUAGAAUUCUCAAUGACGUAUCAAAGAACUUGGGUUGUUUUUCCAAGAGAAGCGACGCCACAGUGAGACCCCUUCUGACCCUGGCAUGACGGUGUUAAAUCCUCCAGCACUCCACACUGCAGUGGGCUUACUGUUUCUGGGUCCUGAACUGAAUGGUGAUCUGCUGUGAAGUCAGUGUUCAUGUAACCUUAUUAUGGUCAUGUAAUCUUAUUAGGGGAUGAUAUCCAUAUGUGCGUAGCCUCCAGGCAUGCUUUAAAAGG
ensembl:lncRNA